rnacentral:rRNA from 1 species
GAUGAACGCUGGCGGCGUGCUUAACACAUGCAAGUCGUACGGUAAGACGCUUUCGGGGGUACACGAGUGGCGAACGGGGGCGUAACAGGAGAGUAACCUUCCCACAACUUUGGGAUAACGCUAGGAAACUGGAGCCAAUACUGGAAAUGUGCACUUGCUGCAUGGUGGGGGUUGGAAAGCUCCGGCGGUUGUGGAUGGACUCGCGGCCUAUCAGCUUGCUGGUGGGGUAGUGGCCUACCAAGGCGGCGACGGGUAGCCGGCCUGUGGGGGUGACCGGCCACACUGGCACUGAGGUGCGGCCCAGACUCCGACUGGUGGCAGCAGUGCGGAAUAUUGCACAAUGGGCGCCGGCCUGAUGCAGCAGCGCCUCGUGCGGGAUGACGGCCUUCGUGUUGUAGACCGCUUUCAGCAGGGACGAUGCUUUUUUUGACGGUACCUGCAGAAGAAGCACCGGCUAACUACGUG